GGGGGGGCCCGGGGGAGGAGGGGCUGCGGGAGAUGAACAAGAAGCUGCAGAACCUUCUGGAAGAGCAGCUCACCAAGAACCUGCACCUGGCGCAGGACCUGGAAUCGCUGUCCCAGGAACUGGCCCAGCUCAGGAAGGACCAAACAGCCCCCCCCGGACCCCCCUGAGGGGCGAGGCCACCUCUGCCGGUGGGCGGGGCCUCUCCCCAUCGCCCCGCCCCCUCCCGCUGCAAGCUCCACCCCCCGGUGGGGGGGGUCUGCUUCGGGGGAGACAUUGCCCCUUUAAGAACGGGGGGGUGGUCCCUACUUGGCGUUACCCCUUUGAGGCCUGGGCAGAUCCCCCAGGAGGGCGUUGCCCCUUUAAGACGGGUUUAAAUCCCCCCUUUGGGCGUUGCCCCUUUAAGGAGGUCGCGGUCCCCACUCCGCCGUUGCCCCUUUAAGACCGGGGGUGGGCUCCCCCCAGGACGCCGUUGCCCAUUUAAGAACGGGUUUGACACCACCUUUGGGCGUCGCCCCUUUAAGACGAAGGUGGGGCCCUCCCCAGACUCCGUUUCCCCUUUAAGACGGGUUUGAAACCCCCCCCCUCGGGCGUUGCCCCUUUAAGGCGGUCGCGGUAGUCCCCCCUCCCUUUGUGCCGUUGCCCCUUUAAGAGGGGGAGGGUCCCGCAUGCGGCCCCCCCCUCAAUAAACAACCCCCAACCGCCA